AAUGGGGGAAACCCUGAUGCAGCGACGCCGCGUGAAGGAAGAAGUAUCUCGGUAUGUAAACUUCUAUCAGCAGGGAAGAUAGUGACGGUACCUGACUAAGAAGCCCCGGCUAACUACGUGCCAGCAGCCGCGGUAAUACGUAGGGGGCAAGCGUUAUCCGGAUUUACUGGGUGUAAAGGGAGCGUAGACGGUGUGGCAAGUCUGAUGUGAAAGGCAUGGGCUCAACCUGUGGACUGCAUUGGACACUGUCAUACUUGAGUGCCGGAGGGGUAAGCGGAAUUCCUAGUGUAGCGGUGAAAUGCGUAGAUAUUAGGAGGAACACCAGUGGCGAAGGCGGCUUACUGGACGGUAACUGACGUUGAGGCUCGAAAGCGUGGGGAGCAAA
rnacentral:rRNA from 1 species